rnacentral:rRNA from 1 species
GACGAACGCUGGCGGCGUGCUUAACACAUGCAAGUCGAGCGGAAAGGCCACUUCGGUGGUACUCGAGCGGCGAACGGGUGAGUAACACGUGAGUAAUCUGCCCCUCACUUUGGGAUAGCCACCGGAAACGGUGAUUAAUACCGGACAUGACCAUAUGUCGCAUGGCGUGUGGUGGAAAGUUUUUCGGUGAGGGAUGUGCUCGCGGCCUAUCAGCUUGAUGGUGGGGUAAUGGCUCACCAUGGCUUCGACGGGUAGCCGGCCUGAGAGGGUGACCGGUCACACUGGGACUGAGACACGGCCCAGACUCCUACGGGAGGCAGCAGUGGGGAAUAUUGGACAAUGGGCGGAAGCCUGAUCCAGCAACGCCGCGUGAGGGAUGACGGCCUUCGGGUUGUAAACCUCUUUCAGUACCGACGAAGCGCAAGUGACGGUAGGUACAGAAGAAGCACCGGCCAACUACGUG